rnacentral:lncRNA from 1 species
CAGAGAAAAAUCAUAAAAUGGAAAAUCCAAUUUUUUGGACUCCACAUAAGUAGAUCUACGUAGUAAACACAUAAUAUGGUAUGCUUUAGUACAAACUUUUUGAUAUAAAGGUUUUGUCCUUUAUUUAUUUGUUUAUUUGGCUGAAUCUUUGAAAAAUCAUAGUAAAUCAUAGUAAAUCAUAAAAUAGAAAAUUUAAUUUUCUUAGACUCCACAUGAGUAUAUAUACAUAAAAAAUAAAAAGAAAAGGACAAAACCUUUAUAGCAAAAACUUUGUACUAAAGCAUACCAUAUUAUAUAUUCAUUGUGUAGAUCUACUUAUGUGGAGUCCAACAAAAUUGGAUUUUAUAUUUUCUGAUUUUUUUCUGUGAUUUACUAUGAUUUUUCAAAUAUUCAGCCGAAAUAAUUAAAAAAGAUAAAGAUUAAACCACUAUCACUGUAGCAACCCACUAUUCCAUGUAGCAAAAAACGUCUUCGAAACCAUUUUAGGGAGGUAAAAUACACAGUUUAAAAAGUUGAAGAAGGUAGUUUGUCUGUUUUAGAGUUGAGGGAAAAAAAGUGGACUUUCGUAAAAAUUGAGAAGGAAAAUAUACUUUUUCCUUUUGAGAGGGGCCGUUGCCGCACUUUGCUAGGCCACUGGAUACCGGACCGCCAAUUCCUAUCCCCCAGCAUGGUUGGGCUACUAGGGCUCCGGCCCAAUUAUCAAAACAAAAAAAAAAGAAAAAACUACCCCAGGCUAGUGGCAAGUGCCCGCCUAUCGCCGAUGCUGCUGCUAUGCUAUACAUUUAGGCUUUUUUUUUAAGUUUCAAAAAGUUUUUAGAUUUAAUAAUUAUUGUCCAAUUAUGAAUUAAUUUGGUUUAAAAGAUUUAUUUUGCAAUUUAUAAGAAAACUAUAUAAUUACUUUUUGUUUUGUCUCUACUUAAUCUUUCCCUACUACUUAAUUACAAAAAUUUGAGUCUGCCUGCAGAAAUCUUCUACCUACCCCCUCCGUCCGUCUCGGUUAUAUUCAAAUAAGGAGUAUGUUUAUUCUUUAUUUUUUUUAUCUAUCUUUAAUAAUAAAAAAAUAAAUUUUCGGAUGUUUUUUUCAUCCAGCCCAUUCAAUUGGAUCGAACUGUCCGCUUCACUCUCUCACGUCCGGCCCACUCCCAUUCACGUCGCUCCGUCGCACCGAUAGAAAAAACAUCGUCUCCACGCAUCGUUUCUGUCGCUCCUCCCAUCUGCUGCAACACCGCUAAUCCACCCCCC